GACAGAGGAUGCAAGCGUUAUCCGGAAUGAUUGGGCGUAAAGCGUCUGUAGGUGGCUUUUCAAGUCCGCCGUCAAAUCCCAGGGCUCAACCCUGGACAGGCGGUGGAAACUACCAAGCUGGAGUAUGGUAGGGGCAGAGGGAAUUUCCGGUGGAGCGGUGAAAUGCGCAGAUAUCAGGAGGAACACCGGUGGCGAAGGCGGGUCUCUGGGCCGAUACUGACGCUGAGGAGCGAAAGCGUGGGGAGCGAACAGG
rnacentral:rRNA from 1 species